rnacentral:sRNA from 1 species
CUUGGUCAUUUAGAGGAAGUAAAAGUCGUAACAAGGUUUCCGUAGGUGAACCUGCGGAAGGAUCAUUAAUGAUUUUUUAAGCAAUCCGAGCGAGAUAAAGCGAGGAUUGCGAAAUAUUUAAAACCCCACUCUUUUUAACUUUAUAUAAUAAUAAAUCAUGAUACAUGAAUUUAAAAAGAAGAUCACUUUCAACAACGGAUCUCUUGGCUCUCGCAUCGAUGAAGAACGCAGCGAAAUGCGAUAAGUAGUGUGAAUUGCAGAAAUUGUGAAUCAUCGAAUCUUUGAACGCAAAUUGCACUCUCUGGUAUUCCGGGGAGUAUGCCUGUUUGAGGGUCGUUAGAACAAAAAUCGAAGCGUCGCUCUUUACGAAAUUAUUAUAUUUUGUUUGGGUGAUUGCGUCGGAAUUGAGCCUUCUUUCAUAUGUUAAUUCAUGUCAAAGUGGCUUAAAAUUCAUCAAUCUGGUACGAUUUAAAGCGUAUUUAAGAUCAACCUUGAUUAAGAACGCGCGAUGACGUACCAUCUCAUGUAGUACGUUCGACCUGCUUGUCAGGCUCAUUCGUAUACGACAUUCAACUUUUGACCUCAAAUCAGGUAAGAAUACCCGCUGAACUUAAGCAUAUCAAUAAGCGGAGGAAAAGAAAAUAACAAUGAUUCCCUCAGUAACGGCGAGCGAAGAGGGAUAAGCUCAAAUUUUAAAUCUGUUGGGUUUUUCACCUAACAGAGUUGUAUUUUGAAGAAACGUUUUCUGCGUCCAGGAUUAGCCUAAAUCCUUUGGGAUAAGGUAUCAUGGAGGGUGAGAAUCCCGUUCAUGGUUAAUCUUAAGGAUGCUCUACGAUACGUUCUCCAAGAGUCGAGUUGUUUGGGAAU